CCCUAUGUGAGCUUGGGCACUCGAAUGAAUUCCGACAUAUUGGUAAGGUGUUGAAAACUGCCGAUACCUUCCGAAUGCCUAUCUAAUCCCACAAGCAUGGCGUCUGCGGUUGUAUCAUUCGCUAAGAGUUUAUGGACUGACCCAUUCAGAUGGUCCCUUGUAAAGAGUGUCGUCGUGUUCUGUGGAGCUGUUUAUAUUGCAAGGGAGGUUGCUGCAGUAGAAGCUGCGGAAGUGUUGCCAACCUCUUGAACAUGUUGAAGCAGAUGUAAUUCUGUGAUCUGACUGAUGAGAGACUGUAUCAAGCAGCAACGCCUACAUUGUAGAACAAUGUGAAUACAUGUGUGUAUGAGAUGAUGUACCUGUAGUGUAUAAACAUGUGACAACUUG